rnacentral:rRNA from 1 species
GCCGGUGUUUAGCGUAAACGAGAUCCACCUGUUCCCAUUCCGAACACAGAAGUGAAAGCGUUUUCGUCUGAUGAUACUUGUCUUUUUUGACUGGGAAAGUAGGAUAUGCCGGUA